UUUCCAGACUCCUACGGGAGGCAGCAGUGGGGAAUAUUGCACAAUGGGGGGAACCCUGAUGCAGCGACGCCGCGUGGGUGAAGGAGUACUUCGGUACGUAAAGCCCUAUCAGCAGGAAAGAAAAUGACGGUACCUGACUAAGAAGCCCCGGCUAACUACGUGCCAGCAGCCGCGGUCAUACGUAGGAUCCGAGCAUUAUCCGGAGUGACUGGGUGUAAAGAGUUGCGUAGGUGGCAUAGUAAGUAGCUAGUGAAAUCUGGUGGCUCAACCAUUCAGACUAUUAGCUAAACUGCUAAGCUCGAGACCGUUAGGGGUAACUGGAAUUUCUAGUGUAGGAGUGAAAUCCGUAGAUAUUAGAAGGAACACCGAUAGCGUAGGCAGGUUACUGGGACGGUUCUGACACUAAGGCACGAAAGCGUAGGGAGCAAACGGGAUUAGAUACCCGAGUAUA
rnacentral:rRNA from 1 species